rnacentral:rRNA from 1 species
GACGAACGCUGGCGGCGUGCUUAACACAUGCAAGUCGAGCGGUAAGGCCCCUUCGGGGUACGACGAGCGGCGAACGGGUGAGUAACACGUGGGUGACCUGCCCUCCAGCUCUGGGAUAAGCCUGGGAAACCGGGUACUAAUACCGGAUAUGACUCCAUGACGCAUGUUGUGGGGUGGAAAGCCUUGUGCGGCUGAGGAUGGGCCCGCGGCCUAUCAGCUUGUUGGUGGGGUGAUGGCCUACCAAGGCGACGACGGGUAGCCGGCCUGAGAGGGCGACCGGCCACACUGGGACUGAGACACGGCCCAGACUCCUACGGGAGGCAGCAGUGGGGAAUCUUGCGCAAUGGGCGAAAGCCUGACGCAGCGACGCCGCGUGA